rnacentral:lncRNA from 1 species
AACAGAUAAAUAUCUGAGCUGAGAUGGUUCAACAUAGGCCUAACUAGUCAGCUCAAUAUUUUCUUAAAAAAAAUAAAUAUUAAAUUAAAAAAAAAAAAAAAAGGCAAUACAGGAAGAGACUGAUAAUUGGAAGAAUAACAAUGAAGUUACUCUCACAACCUAGGAAUAGAGAAGUCUAUGAAGGCAACCAUGAAUAAAAAGUUCAGAGAACAGUUUCUUCAUUCUAGAACUAGAAGACCAUUGGGAGAGAAGGGACAUCUGUCACCAAAAAAGAAAAGGCCAAGAAGGACAGGACAGAGGAAUCUCAGCUUGUUGCAACCCACCAGCACUGCUAUACAUCUAGCUGGGGUGACACCUGAUGACAGGAAACACAGCCAAAGGAUCUGCUCCGCUGUAGUGACUUGUAUGGAAGGAGAUCCAACUGUAAUCUCCACUGGUGUGGCAGCACUGAAGGAAUCACUCCUGGAAAAAAGGAAUUAAUACAUUACUGUCAGAUAUUCUAGGAAGACUCCCACUGAUGUCGGUGAAAUAUGGGGCAUAGGUGAGGGAAGGAGCAUGAACGACAGGGCUUUUCAACAAGAAAAUGCAUAUAGUACUCUCAGUAUUUAAAUCAGUAAUUUUAUGUGAUACUGGAUUUAGGUUCAGCUGAGCUUUUC